rnacentral:rRNA from 1 species
UACGUAGGGUGCGAGCGUUGUCCGGAAUUAUUGGGCGUAAAGAGCUUGUAGGCGGUUUGUCGCGUCUGCUGUGAAAAUCCGGGGCUCAACCCCGGACUUGCAGUGGGUACGGGCAGACUAGAGUGUGGUAGGGGAGGCUGGAAUUCCUGGUGUAGCGGUGGAAUGCGCAGAUAUCAGGAGGAACACCGAUGGCGAAGGCAGGUCUCUGGGCCGAUACUGACGCUGAGGAGCGAAAGCGUGGGGAGCGAACAGG